UGGGGAAUAUUGGACAAUGGGCGCAAGCCUGAUCCAGCCAUGCCGCGUGUGUGAAGAAGGCCUUUUGGUUGUAAAGCACUCUAAGCGAGGAGGAGGCUACUUGGAUUAAUACUCUAGGAUAGUGGACGUUACUCGCAGAAUAAGCACCGGCUAACUCUGUGCCAGCAGCCGCGGUAAUACAGAGGGUGCGAGCGUUAAUCGGAUUUACUGGGCGUAAAGCGUGCGUAGGCGGCUUCUUAAGUCGGAUGUGAAAUCCCUGAGCUUAACUUAGGAAUUGCAUUCGAUACUGGGAAGCUAGAGUAUGGGAGAGGAUGGUAGAAUUCCAGGUGUAGCGGUGAAAUGCGUAGAGAUCUGGAGGAAUACCGAUGGCGAAGGCAGCCAUCUGGCCUAAUACUGACGCUGAGGUACGAAAGCAUGGGGAGCAAACAGG
rnacentral:rRNA from 1 species